rnacentral:rRNA from 1 species
UACAGAGGGGGCAAGCGUUGUUCGGAAUUACUGGGCGUAAAGGGCGCGUAGGCGGCCGCCUAAGUCAGACGUGAAAUCCCUCGGCUCAACCGGGGAACUGCGUCUGAUACUGGGUGGCUUGAAUCCGGGAGAGGGAUGCGGAAUUCCAGGUGUAGCGGUGAAAUGCGUAGAUAUCUGGAGGAAUACCGGUGGCGAAGGCGGCAUCCUGGACCGGCAUUGACGCUGAUGAGCGAAAGCUAGGGGAGCAAACGGG